AAAUGAAUUAAAUGGCAUAAUUGUAGUGAUUAUAGUUAAUAAUAAUUCAUUUUAUAUAUGGUUAAGCAUGCAUUGGUCACUGUGUAGACGCUAUUCUCCUGACCCGGAGUGUAUGUGUGUAUAUGUGUGUCUACUUACAGACUUUUAAACAGCUGUUGGUGUCGUUGGGCCCAAUUUCACGUUCUAACUGUUAAAGAAAUGUAGAAAUAUGCAAAAUAACAAGAAGCGUUAUGAAGAGGUAUUUUACCAAUACCCUUCCAUGGACACAAUGAGACCGAUCAGGCACCCUUUAGAAUCUAUUAUUAACUACGCAUAAAUUUCAUGUUUUUCUUCUUCUAUUCUAAGUUAAUGUCUAGGAAUAUUUAAUAUUAUUGAACAAUUUUCUUUUCUAUUUUUUUUCUUCUCUCCAUGAUUUUUCAUUAUUUUCUUUUCUAGAUUUUUGUGAUUUACUUUUCUUCCCUUAAGUGGCUUUUAGAAUGUCGGCAUCGAACAAUUUUAAUAACCUGAGAGAAGGAGAGAAUAGGUGACAUACGGUCAGGUGGGUCUUUUUAAGUGCGCAUAGGUGUAUGGUCAGCCGCAAGGGCAAUGACCGCUGAGCUAAUUUUUCCACACCCUACAUAUGCAAGCACCAACAAAAUUUUCACCACGUUUUUUUUUUUGUAUAUUUUCUACACGCACAUCAAUUAAGUCUUCCAACCUUGAAUGCAAUUUUUGGUCUGUGCAGCAUGCACUUAGCCUAACUAUUUUACCCCUCCAAAAGCUGUGUGUGAGAGAGCUAAGAAGGUUCUCGAAGGGCUAGCCGUAAGCUAUGUUUGCAGAGAGAAAAGCUCACAUGUGAACGGUGCUCGCACAUGCAAUUUCGAAAGAGAGAGCUUUUCAAGAUAACAGCUUCUGAUCUUGCAUGUGGGCUCUCGCUGGAAUGCGUACAGUGGGGGAGGUUCAAUAUUUUCUUGANGUUUCUACAAUGUCGGUGUCCUGGCUAGUAUCAUUGCAUAUAGUGCAGUGUACGACUACCUCGACGAGAUUAACAUUUAUAUUGUCAAUACUUCGCCUUACCGCCAUUGUAACAAAUUAUGAUUAAGGAAAAACGAUAUAAGUUAUAUAACGAUAUGGUCUUUAAGACCAGAAAGAUUUUUUUUCUUUGAUUCUAAAUUCGAAAAUAUGGGCAAUGAUUGGGAGGGUCUCCUACCAGGCACCAGCACAGCAGAAGGAAUGUCUUCGGUUGUUAUAACCUUAAGUCCGUAAGCAGAAAGAAAGAAAAGAAAAUUUGGGUGAUGAUCCUUUCGAGAAAAGGAGGAACAGGACCGAAUUCUCCAGUCUGAACAAGUCUCAACUAAUCUCGAGAGAAUAAAGGUCAUUCAUCUUCGCUACUAGGUAUAGAACCAAUUUACUCAGAACUAUCGUUCCUAGUAUCCUGAUGAAAUGAUAUAAUGAAGUCUACUGUGAUCUUCUUCUAUGCAAUA
rnacentral:lncRNA from 1 species